rnacentral:tRNA from 1 species
GCCCUUGUAGCUCAGUGGACAGAGUGGCGGUCUCCGAAGCCGCAGGUCGCAGGUUCGACUCCUGCCGGGGGCA